rnacentral:rRNA from 1 species
CCUACGGGAGGCAGCAGUGAGGAAUAUUGGUCAAUGGGCGUAAGCCUGAACCAGCCAAGUCGCGUGAGGGAUGAAGGUUCUAUGGAUCGUAAACCUCUUUUAUAAGGGAAUAAAGUGUGGGACGAGUCCUAUGUUGUAUGUACCUUAUGAAUAAGGAUCGGCUAACUCCGUGCCAGCAGCCGCGGUAAUACGGAGGAUCCGAGCGUUAUCCGGAUUUAUUGGGUUUAAAGGGUGCGUAGGCGGCCUUUUAAGUCAGCGGUGAAAGGCUGUGGCUCAACCAUCGAAGUGCCGUUGAAACUGGGGGGCUUGAGUAUGUUUGAGGUAGGCGGAAUGCGUGGGGUAGCGGUGAAAUGCUUAGAUAUCACGCAGAACCCCGAUUGCGAAGGCAGCCUGCCAAGCCCUGACUGACACUGAUGCACGAAAGCGUGGGGAUCAAACAGGAUUAGAUACCCGAGUAGUC